rnacentral:rRNA from 1 species
AGAGUUUGAUCAUGGCUCAGAAUCAACGCUGGCGGCGCGCUUAACACAUGCAAGUCGAACGAGAAAGGGGAGCAAUCCCUGAGUAAAGUGGCGUACGGGUGAGUAACACGUGGGUGAUCUACCUGUUAGUGGGGAAUAACUCCGCGAAAGUGAAGCUAAUACCGCAUAAUCCCGCAAGGGGAAAGUAGUAAUACGCUGACAGAGGAGCCCGCGGCUGAUUAGCUAGUUGGUGAGGUAAUGGCUCACCAAGGCUGCGAUCGGUAGCCGGCCUGAGAGGGCACACGGCCACACUGGCACUGAAACACGGGCCAGACUCCUACGGGAGGCAGCAGUGGGGAAUCUUGCACAAUGGGGGAAACCCUGAUGCAGCGACGCCGCGUGAGCGAUGAAGUCCUUCGGGAUGUAAAGCUCUUUCGACGGGAACGAUAAUGACGGUACCCGGAGAAGAAGCUGCGGCUAACUACGUGCCAGCAGCCGCGGUAAUACGUAGGCAGCGAGCGUUGUUCGGAAUUACUGGGCGUAAAGAGUGUGUAGGCGGUUUGGUAAGUUUGGUGUGAAAUCUCCCGGCUUAACUGGGAGGGUGCGCCGAAAACUGCCAGACUAGAGUGCCGGAGAGGAAAGCGGAAUUCCUGGUGUAGCGGUGAAAUGCGUAGAUAUCAGGAGGAACACCGGUGGUGUAGACGGCUUUCUGGACGGCCACUGACGCUGAGACACGAAAGCGUGGGGAGCAAACAGGAUUAGAUACCCUAGUAGUCC